rnacentral:rRNA from 1 species
AUUGAACGCUGGCGGCAGGCCUAACACAUGCAAGUCGAACGAGUGGCGGACGGGUGAGUAAUUUCUGGGAAACUGCCCGAUGUAGGGGGAUAACUACUGGAAACGGUAGCUAAUACCGCAUACCAUCGGAUCUGCCCAGAUGGGAUUAGCUAGUAGGUGUGGUAAAGGCUCACCUAGGCGACGCUCCUUAGCAGGUCUGAGAGGAUGACCAGCCACACUGGAACUGAGACACGGUCCAGACUCCUACGGGAGGCAGCAGUGGGGAAUAUUGCACAAUGGGCGAAAGCCUGAUGCAGCCAUGCCGCGUGUAUGAAGAAGGCCUUCGGGUUGUAAAGUACUGUCAGCGGGGAGGCGUUACCCGAAGAAGAAGCACCGGCUAACUACGUGCCAGCCGCCGCGGUAAUAC